UACAGAGGUCUCGAGCGUUAGGCGGAAUCACUGGGCUUAAAGCGUGUGUAGGUGGAUGCCUAAGUACCUUGUGAAAUCCCACGGCUUAACCGGUGGAACGUGCUUUGGUAUACUGGGUGCUUGAGUCACUCAGGGGCGAGCGGAACAAUGGUGGAGCGGUGAAAUGACGGUAGAUAUCACUUUGGAACGCCAAUGGGUGAAACAGCUCGCUGGGGGUGCACUGACACUGAGACACGAAAGCCAGGGGAGCGAACGGG
rnacentral:rRNA from 1 species